GACAGUGUGGUGUAGUGGUGAGUGUUGGACUACAACUCUGGAGUUCAGGGUUCGAUUCUCUGCUUGAGCA